GACGAACGCUGGCGGCGUGCUUAACACAUGCAAGUCGAACGGAAAGGCCCUGCUUGCAGGGUACUCGAGUGGCGAACGGGUGAGUAACACGUGGGUGAUCUGCCCUGCACUUCGGGAUAAGCUUGGGAAACUGGGUCUAAUACCGGAUAGGAACCAUCUUUAGUGUGGUGGUUGGAAAGUUUUUUCGGUGUAGGAUGAGCUCGCGGCCUAUCAGCUUGUUGGUGGGGUAAUGGCCUACCAAGGCGGCGACGGGUAGCCGGCCUGAGAGGGUGUACGGCCACAUUGGGACUGAGAGACGGCACAGACUCCGACGGGAGGCAGCAGUGGGGAAUAUUGCACAAUGGGCGCAAGCCUGAUGCAGCGACGCCGCGUGGGGGAUGAAGGCCUUCGGGUUGUAAACUCCUUUCGCUAGGGACGAAGCUUUUUGUGACGGUACCUAGAUAAGAAGCACCGGCUAACUACGUG
rnacentral:rRNA from 1 species